CAAAGGGACAAAUUGAAGCCUAGUGCUAUUCCUUGUGUUUUUCUGGGAUAUCCUUUUGGUAAAAAGGGCUACAGGCUCUAUGAUUAUACUUCCAAGAAGUAUUUAGUUUCCAAGGAUGUCCAAUUUCAUGAAUCAGUUUUUCCUUUCAAACAUGCCUCUCUUUCUGUUCCUUCAUCCACUCCUAUUUUUCCUUUCAUUUAUUCUGGAGAACAUGAUGCUACUUCUAAUGAUUCUGAUUCUCCUCUUCCUUCCUCUACUUCUGAUUCUGCUUCACCUGUCCAUCUACCUUCUUCUGCUAUUCUGGAGAACAUGAUGCUACUUCUAAUGAUUCUGAUUCUCCUCUUCCUUCCUCUACUUCUGAUUCUGCUUCACCUGUCCAUCUACCUUCUUCUGCUCCACUCAGUCCUCCUGUCUUGGAUACUACCUCUGUUCCAGCUCCUAGAAAAUCUAGCAGACCUCAUAAUCCCCCUUCCUACCUUAAGGAUUAUGUGUGCCAACUUCCUGCCUUCUCUGGCUCUUCUUCCUCCUCUAUGGAAGUUGAACCUCAAUACUAUUCUCAGGCAGCAUCUGUUCCAGCUUGGCAAGCUGCCAUGAGACAGGAGUUUGAAGCCUUGGACACAAACCAGACUUGGGAUGUUGUUCCUCUUCCUCCUGGAAAGAAACCCAUUGGUUCCAAAUGGGUUUACAAAAUCAAAUAUAAGGCAGAUGGCACUGUUGAAAGGUAUAAGGCCAGGUUGGUCAUAAGGGGUGACACUCAAGUUGAGGGGAUUGACUUUACUGAUACUUUUUCCCCUGUGAUAAAAAUGACUUCUGUCAAGUGUCUCAUUGCUGUGGCAAUCAAAAACCACUGGCCCCUA
rnacentral:lncRNA from 1 species